rnacentral:rRNA from 1 species
UUUAAUGAGAGUUUGAUUCUGGCUCAGAACGAACGCUGGCGGCGUGCCUAACACAUGCAAGUCGAACGGAGUUUAUUUUGUAGCAAUACAAGAUAAACUUAGUGGCGCACGGGUGAGUAACACGUAGGUAACUUGCCCUUAAGAGGGGAACAACUCAGGGAAACUUGAGCUAAUACCCCAUAAGACCACGAACUGAAAUGUUAGUGGUAAAAGGAGUAAUCCGCUUAAGGAUGGGCCUGCGGCCUAUCAGGUAGUUGGUGAGGUAACGGCCCACCAAGCCUAAGACGGGUAGCCGGACUGAGAGGUCGAACGGCCACACUGGAACUGAGACACGGUCCAGACUCCUACGGGAGGCAGCAGUGGGGAAUUUUGCACAAUGGGCGAAAGCCUGAUGCAGCGACGCCGCGUGGAGGAUGAAGGCCUUCGGGUUGUAAACUCCUUUUGCAGGGGAAAAUAAUGAUGGUACCCUGCGAAUAAGCCACGGCUAACUCUGUGCCAGCAGCCGCGGUAAGACAGAGGUGGCAAGCGUUGUUCGGAAUUACUGGGCUUAAAGGGCGCGUAGGCGGUGAGAUAAGUCUGAGG